AGCUUUGGUGCCUCGUCCACUGCCAAAAUCAGUGUAGAUGCUUCGCUUGCAGGAGCCAUUAUUGGGAAGGGUGGUGUAAAUUCGAAGCAGAUUUGUCGCCAGACAGGUGCCAAGCUUUCAAUCCGGGAGCAUGAGUCAGAUCCCAAUCUCAGGAACAUUGAACUAGAGGGGACCUUUGAACAGAUUCAGCAAGCAAGUGCCAUGGUGAGAGAGCUAAUUGUGACUGUUUCAAUGUCUGGCCCUGCAAAAACUCCUGGAGGAGGAGCUCCAGGGGCCCCGGCCCCUCCUGGAAGUAACUAUAAGACAAAGCUAUGCGAUAAUUUUACCAAAGGGACUUGCACCUUCGGAGAUAGAUGUCACUUUGCACACGGGGCUGCUGAAUUGCGGAAGUCUGGGAUGUGAGUGCUCUUUCAGUUUUUGCUUGCAACCUUGUACUAGUGGGAGAGCUGUUUUGAUUUGUCCAUGUGCAAUGCAACUUAGCGGAACUAACAAAAUUAUGAUAAUUUUUGGGCAUUUGGUUUCCUUUGUUUCUAGUGUAGCUUGUAGGCAUAAGUUUACUUUCUGAAUAUAUGUUUUAUAUGCUCGUCAUUUGUUUAUGUGGAAACUAGGGCAGGAUUAUUUGUCCAAAACUGUUGGUAAUUUUGAUGACACUUGCAGAACGUGGGUAGGAUUUUAAGCCUUAUAAUAACUUUUGUGUUUCAAUUGAAGUUCAUUAAGAACUGCAAACUACCUACCAAAGUACGCCGGAUUUGGAUCCUCUGCAAUGAUUUUUUCUGGCAUAAUCUUCUUUAUUUUUGUUAUUCAUACGUCAUCUCAUUAAAAUUUAAUUUAAUGGAUUUACAAGUUGACACAUCAUCCUAAAAUAAAAAUUCAAUUUACUUUUAAUUCAAAAAAGAAAAAAAAAACAUAACACUCAACCAACGAAAUAGUUAAUAUCCAAAGUUUUUUUUUUCUUCUUCUUGCUUCAGUGUCCUCUUCUCUUUUUUGGGUUCUUCCUUGCAUUUUGGGGUUUUUUCCCUCCUCAUGUCUCUCUCCAAAAAUCAAUUUUAUGGAGUAUAAUUGGCCGGAUCCAAUCAUCACCAGACAAAAGCUUUGAGUUUGUUUGAUUGUAAUUACCGACGGCUCAUAAUGAAGGACCGGAUGGAUUUUGAACUUACAGGCCUCAUGCGUUUGGUAUGACCAUGGUUCUUCUCAACUUCAAGUUGUUACUGUAAGAUUAUUAAUUCAAUUCAAUUAUGUUAUCUCAUUAAUUUUUUUGUUCUUGGUGGGUUCUUAUUCCUAAUGGGCCAUAACUCCCUUUUCUUUGGGUCUUUGGUGGGUUAUUCUUCCCAACUUCACGUUUUGGCUUUUUUGUCCAAGAAGAAGAGGCCCUGAUCUUCUUCAUCUGUCCUCCUUACGGCCUCUUGCUCUUCCUGUAAAAUCACAGCCAGAAGGAAUAAGAACCCACCAAGAACCAAUAAAAAGGAAUGAGAUAACAUAAUUGAUUUGAAUUAGUAAUCUUACAGUGACAUGAAGAGAAAAAAAAAAGUCAGAACGUAAGGAAGAAUCCAAAAAAGAGAAGAGGACAGCGACGAGAAAAAAAACAACUUAGAAUGUUAAUUAUCCCGUUAGUGGGGUGUUAGGGUUUUUUUUUCUUUUUUAAUUAGGAAUAAAUUGGGUUUUUAUUUUAGGAUUAUGCGUCAACUUGUAAAUCCAUUAGAUUAAAUUUUAAUGAGGUGGGUAUGAAGAACAAAAGUAAAGUAGAUCAUGGAAGAGAAAAUUAAAGCAGAGGAUCUGAAUCCAAAUAAGCCAAAGAGUGCAACAAAUGCCAAUCCACAAAGUUUAAUUACCAUUGAAUCCCAUUAAAGGCAUGUAAUGCUAGAGUUCCAUCUUAAUACCAAAGGAAAAACUAAGGAGAUGUCAAUCGUCAAACCAAAGGGAAGCAUCUUUUCUCUAUAACCCGCAAUAACAUGAUACAAGCAACCUCCAUUUCCAAGCAGAAACUUGCGAAUGUUGAUGGACCAAAAGCUUUUGCUUUUUUCUUUUUCUUAAUUAGCAGGGAAGAGGGAAUUCGAACUUUGAACCUCUUGCAACUUUGGAAAUAGAGGUAGUUGGUGCUCACUAAACCAAAAGCUAACUGAUAUAUUGACUCUUGAAUGGCUUUUCACCCAAGUAUCAUUAAGGCUUCCAAACCCACCCACCUCUUUGUGGCAGACAAACUUCCUCCCAAGAGACCUUUAGAAGCCUAAUGGUUAGAACAAAUACCAGCCCAUAAGAAAGAACAAAUUCUUUGUUCAAUGUCCAACAACAGUUUCUUGGGCAAGAACAAACAACCUCCUUAGGAGGCUCAAGAUUAUGAUAUUGAACAUCCAACAUCUCAUUCCUUCUUUUGAAUUUUAAGAACAUUUUUAAAGAGAUCAAUUUCACUACAGACUUAAGACACCAAUUGAAUUAUCCACACUUUUAGUCUCACAUUGUUCCAAAUUCAGUCCUCCCUGUUCUCAAAUUUGAUUUGUACGGAGGAGGUUGUCCUCGUGGUUUUGUUUUGUAGUUUUGUUUUUCCUUACUAAAAACAAAAACAAAAACGAACUUGAAGAUUACAUGAAGAUUCCAUAAAACACAUGUUGAUGCCCAAAAUGGAGUUCAACUUAAAUAGAUGUGGAGUGAUGGAUGAUGUGUGAAGACGUGAGCCUUCAGCAUGUGUAUGUGUAGUAGGCAGGUUAUUGUCUUCAGUAGUCAAUGACAUUCAGCGUAAGUAAAGUAAAUAAGCAUGCAGAAGACAAGGUAUACGUGGUUCACCCGAAUGAUUGGUUACGUCCACAGAGAAGGAUGUUCUCAUUAUGAUAAUGUUUGUUUACAUUUGUACAAGGAGAUUAGACCCAAAAAUAAAGGGAAGAAGGCCCAAGGCCUAAGUUAUAAAGCCCAAGAGUCCAAGGCCCAAGGGUCAAGACCUAAGACUCUUUUCUAAGUGGAGUGUGGUCUUUUUUUAUAGGUGAAUGGGAGUCUCCACCUCUUGUAGUCUUCUAAUGUGGGACUCUUGACAUUACCCUUAAUUAUGACUUAUGGCAAGGCUUCUUUGGCUAAGGUGACGACCUCUCAAAGCACAGUACGUGGCUGAUCUUGCUUAGCUAAUUGAUCGGUUAGUCAUGAUAUCGACAACACGUUGAAUAGAUUGUCACUUCCCAGCACAAGAUAAGGAACUUAAGUCAAUAAUUUAUCUAAUUGGUAAGAAUUUUGAUGUUGGAGUUGAAACAACUAGUAAUCUUUAGGUUUGAUAGGGUCACCAACUAGUAAAAAGGAAUAUAAUUAAAAAUAUAAUAUUUUUAAUUAACUUUUUCUCAAAAGAGUGUAAAGCCAAUUUUUAAGAGCAACUACAAUUAUACUCUCUAUUUUUUAAUUAAAAUUUAGGGAAAAUACACAAAAACUAUUUUAAGAGCUCUUUAUAAAAUUUCAACUUCAAUCAUACUUUCUAGUUUAGGGAGUCAUAAUUGCUAUAAUUCUUUUUUAAUUCAACAUAAAUGAUUCAUCUCUAUUUUUUUUUUUUUAAAUGGCAAUAUUAAUUAAAGAUUUAAAAUAGGAAGCUGAUUUUCUCACUCCUCUUUUGUCCACUUAAAUUCCUUUUGUUGGAAAUUGUAUGUUUUCACUCCUACUUUGUCCACUUACACUCCUUUGUAUGUUAGAGUAAAAAAUAUUUAAAAACAAAAUAGAGUGUAAGUGGACAAAAAGAGAGUAGGAAAAUCAUCAGCCUUAAAAUAUUCAUUAAAUAAGGCAAUAUUAAAUUAUAGGAAGUCACUAGUAGUUUAUUCUCUCUUCUCAUAUUUAGGAGCUCCUAGAGGUCUCCUUAUUUUAAAAGCUGGAUAAGAAGCAUGGUUGGAGCUGGAUAGGUGCAUUAAUUAAUUAUUACUGUAUUAAUUUUCAUUAAUGUAAGAAAAAACAAUUACAAUAAUAAAAGAGUGCUGCUAUUUGUACCCUUGUCCUAUUUUAUCAUCCAUUAUUAUGCAUUAGCCCCUGUUCACGCAUGUGCCAAUUGGUUUUAUUUUUUAUUUUUUAUUUUAUUUUUAGAAAUAAGAAAAAAUAACAUGGGUAGUUAUGUUCCAUAAAAGUAGGACCUAUUAUAUGAUUUUAUUUUUAUUUUUAAUUUUUUUAUUAUGAAAAAAAUAUGAAUUUACCAUAUUAUCCUUAUUUAAUUAAUAAUUUCAAUUCUUAUUAUUUGAAUUAACAAAGGACAUUUUCUGGAAUUUUGAAUGUUUCACUAUUUUCUAUCUUUUACUUUAUAUAUAUAGAUAAAAUACCCUUUAAUUAUUAAAAUACUACAACAUUAAUAUUUGUUUAUUACUAACAAUUUUAAUAAAAUAAUUAUUAUAAAAAUAAAACUAAACCAAAUCCAGUAUGCAAAGAUAGUUAUGCAGCUGCUGAAUAAGACUCUCGAGAUGUGACCUUGCGUUGUAGAUGAAUGACUGUAAGCAGCCAGCUUAAUUACUUUCUCUUGAUUAGUGCCCAAAAUUGGUAGGCUAUUCUUGAUCACCCCAACUGUGAAUUCUUUGUGAGAAAGAAUACAUAAUGGAUAAACUGAGACUAAGAUGAUAGAAACCUUUGGAACCUGUAGGGAUGAGUCAAUACCACCUCCCCCAACGCAGCCCCCUCUUUGGCGGCAACACUCUUAAGGCCAAGUGGGUCAUGUUCGAUAAGACCUUACUCUUUCAUCAAUACCUCUAACGUCGGUGAUGAUUACUGUUUCAUCAAUACCUCUAACGUCCGAUAAGACCUUACUCUUUCAUCAAUACCUCUAACAUUGGUGAUGAUUACGACGACGGUUGUCUCUGGUAAGGAGUUGUUGGGGAUUGUGACUAGAGUGUGGAAGGUGGUGGAUGGUUUGGGAAUGGUUGGGAAGAGGGGUCGCAUUGUCUUAAAGGCCUGUUUAGUUCAUGGGAAAUGAGAUUUGAGAAUGGAAAAUCAAUUGCUUUUCUAUGUUUGGUAAGUCUAGAUAUGAGAAUUCGUUGCUGGCUCAUGGGAAAGUACGGGGGAAAGUGAAGUCAUCCUCCCCAACUUGGGUUUUGUUUUUCCUCUUCAUGAAAAAAUUUGGAAAAAUAAGCUAACAUUAAAUACAUAUUUUUUAAGACUAUUUUAUCCCCAUUAAUAAUUUAGAAUUACAAUAUAUCAUUAAAUACAUUCUUUUUUUAUUUGAUUUAAUGUGGGUAUAAUUGAAAAUUUAUACAAACUUUUUUUUCUAUUCCUACUUUAAAAAAAUAUGGUAAAUAAAAUAAAGUGAUAUUUUUCAGUUACUUUUCCAGUAUUACCAAAUGUGAAAAAGGAAUCUUCCAUUCUCAUUCCUUGGAGAAUGUAUUGAAAAAUGAUUUCUCCUCAAAUUCAUUCUAUGAACCAAACAAGUGGGUGUAAGUUUUUAAAAAUCAUUUUACGAAGACAAUUAUAAAGAUUAGAUUUUACAGAGACAAUUUUGUCUCAUAAUACGUCUUUUCUUAAUGUUAAAGAAGAUUUUAAAGAAGAUUUAAGGCGAAUCUUCCCCGAUUUUUUUUAUAAACUUAUAAAUUUAAAAAAAAAAAUCAUUACUAAUUUUCUUAGAACCACAAGCAGUUAAUUCUUUUUGGCACUGAGACACUCUCAAUCUCUCUCAUCUCACAUAUCUAAGCAUCUUCUCAAUUGGCUGGCACUUGGUCCAAAUUUCUGAUUCAAAUUUAUAUAUAAACUUUUACACAAUGCUACCAAUUUUAUUCCAUUAAAACUUGUAAAAUAUCAAAACAAACUUCAACCACUAUGCCUUAAAAGACUUGCCCAAAAAAAAAAAACCCACGUAUUACAUAUUAACCCACCAAAAAAAAUUGGGAUUUAAAAGAUGACCUAACCCGACCCCACAACUAAUGGCCAUAGUACAUAAUCAAAGGCUCCAUUUCAACUGAAGGUCCCACCAGUUCCAUAUCCGGGUGGAUUCCCACCCACACGAGUAUUAUGGGCUGCGGUCCAACCCGUACCUGUGUUGAUCCCGAUAGGGUGCGAUUCCACUACUCCCUCCGUCACCUGGCCCGUGGGCUGCCCGGUACCAUGUCCGGGCAGCGCUGACAUUUGGUGAGCCCCAGUGGGCUGCCCUGUGGCCCCGGUUGGGGAGUAUGUGUGGGUCCCAGUGCCACUUGUUGUGUACCCCGUGGGCCCACCCACGGAUGCCUCGUGUCUAGCCGUGGCGUUGUGUGCCUUCGCCGCACACUUGUUCAGCUCGGCCUCCACCAUUCUCUCCUCCCUCUUUUGGGUUGCCAUGUCCUUUUCAACCGGGUCAUGAGCUGUCAUCUUCUCCACCUUUUUUUUUUUUGGUUGGAAAAACAAAAACAAAUGGUGAAUGAAUAAUAAAUUCAUAAAAUGAAACACAAAAAACAUGAUUAAAAUAAAACACAUGAAAUAAAACCUUUUCUUGCACUGUGGCUUUGGUCUUGUCCAUGCCAGACUUAGCAGAGGCUGCUACAUUAGCAGCCGUUUCUUUCACGGACCCCUUUACGUUCUUCCCAGACUGCAUUUUCAGCUCACUUCCUUUUUCUUUCCUUUUUUUUUUUUUUUUCCAAUCCAAAUAAUUUGUCUCAAACUUUGUUUUUUAGCACACUGUAGCAAGUUAAUAUGGUGCGCUUCAAAUAGGCUCAAAGGACGUGUUGGAGUCGCGACACGUGGAAUAAUAGAGAGUUUAGGUGGGCGCUGGAGAGAACAUCACGAUCCCUGUAUUGACACGAUGCAGACACGUGUCAGAGCGUGCUGACAGUGUUGAUGACGCAGCAGUUGGGAAAGUUUAUAUGGUUGCGACACGAAGAUGAUAAUAAUGACACGUGUCGUUUGCGUGUAUCUGCAAUCACCCGAAAAAAAAACACAUAACACAAAACCAAAAAAAAAAAAAGCAUAUAAAUAGAAUGAAAAUAACUCAAUUGAACCAAGCAUUUAAAGAGAGUUCGUUGUUUCCCGAUAUGCUUGGAUGAUUAGGUUAACAAUUGAAUCAUGAACCUAUCACAAUCGGAACUUAAAUUAGACUAACAAUUGCAUCAUGCACCUAACGCAAUUGAACCAUACAAAACUAAACCCUAUAUUACACUACAAUCAUUAUGAUUUUAACAGAGAGAUUUCAUUCUCACUAAUUUAAACCGAAACUCAAUUCAAUAUAUUUUAAAAAAAUUCCCUAAUUUAAACCGAUACUCACUACCAAAAAAAAAAGAGUGCUACGGUUUUGAAAACCCCAAUUUUAUUUCGAAACAACCCUAAUACAUACUUUUAUUAAGGAAAAAUGGGGAUCAGAUCAAUUUUGUUCUUAAAUUAUUGUUCAGGUUGCUUGAUUAUUUAGUUCAUUUGAAAUAUUUGAGUUAGAUUCGACAAUAUGUUUUAGAAAGUUUUAUACGAAACAUGUUUCAAUAAAGCAAGGAACUUUUAACUUAAUCCGGUAGAUAGCUAAGAUAUAGAUUGGAGAAAAUUAGGUCAGACGGUACUAUUUUACGUGCAUCUUUAAGUAAACAAAUUGACUCUAAAAAGAAAAAGAAUCAUCCUCAACAAACGAGAGAGAGAGAGAGAUAACAACAUGAAAGUAGAUCACCUUAUUGAACUUUGAUAAGAUGUUUGUGUUAAAAGUCAUCUAAGUUUGCUUACCUUGUCUAUUGAACUUUAAUGAGACGUACGUGUUGGUCUCUUGUAUAAAUAGACAGAGAGUUCCAAAGUUAUGAGUUUGUCUAAGCUAGAUGCAAUGCAUCAUGAAAUUUUGUACAAUUUUAUGUAGAUGGUCUACUCUCUUGUAUAAAUACGGAGUUUGGGAUUCUAUGAAAUUCACUAAGAGAAGACAGACAAGUCAUGUCCUAUCAGUUUGAAAAUAAGCCAUGAUUAAGACAAGUCUUACCUGAAUAUUCAAUUCUGGAGAUCUAACAUUGUGGGAAUGAAUAUUCAUAUCAAAUUUGGUCAGCAUUUAAACAUAACUUUGCUUCCUUGAUUCUAAAUAUUUAUAUGAAAUAUAGUCAGCAUUUAAACAUGUGCUUAAUUCUCAACUUAGUUAUAAAAAGUCUCAAGAUUGAAUUAUUAUUCUACUAUAUAAAUUUACAGAAGGGCACUUCGAAUGGAAAUUACCUUUUUUUAUUUAUUUAAAGAUGAGAGGAAAUUUGAUUUUGGGAAAUUGUCAAACAUUUGAAUAAAAUAAAAAAGUGUUGCAAAAAUGUAGCAACACAUGGUAGGCACCACUGAGUUGAUUACCACGAAACAUUUCUCCAACCACUUUUACAACGGAAGAAAAUUUGACGCACAUUUCCUCAAAAUUCAAAUCGACGGUUGAGAGGAGUAAUAGUAACACAAUAGUGAACCGGAGACGGACGGCCAACUCCCGAAACCUACUUUCUUUUAUGACAAAAUUAAUAAAGCCUAAUUAGUCACGAAAUAUGGUUACGUUGUUUAAUUUAUUUGCGUGUUUAUAUUAUAACUUGAUUCACAAAAAAAAGUUUGAUUGAAAAUGAUUUUAGGAAGCAAAGUUAUGUUAGGAAAGUAACCAAAAAAUAUCACUUUAUUGCAUUUCCAUAUUUGGUUUGCGUAGAAAUGUAAAAUAAAGUUGAUUUAAUUUUCCAAUUAUAUCCAUACGAAAUCAAAUUAAAAAAAGAAUGCAUUUAAUGUUAUAUUGUAAUUCUAAAUUGUUAAUGAGGACAAAAUGAUCAUGAAAAAUAUACAUUUAAUACUGACUCAUUUUUCAAAGUUUCACACAAAAAGGGAAAAUGAAACUAAGGAGGAGAUGAGUUACAUUUUUCCCCUAUUCCUUAUGUACAAAACAACCAUUUCUCAUGUCUGGACUUAUCAAAUAUGAGAAAACAAAUGAUUUUCCAUCCUCAAGCCUCAUUUUUCAUGUACCAAACACAGCCUAAAGGGAAUAUCAACCAUUUUGUCUACCCAUAUUAUAACACGUGUACAAGUUAUACCCCGUAACCAUACUCCAAUACCAUUAUAUAAUUUCUCAAAAAAGCUACAACUUUAAAACUUCAAUGAUGGACUUCCCCAUCCAACACAAUGACAUCAUCACCUCAACUUAAGAACAUUUAAGUUUUUUGGUCAAAGAAGAACAUUUAAGUUUAAAAAGUCUUAUUUAUAGACAAUUUAAAUUCAAAAAGGACCAGUGCUACUUGGCGAUGUGACACACCUAGCACCGUGGUUAGAGCAUUCACAAUAGGCUCUCUAAAUCAUCUCAUGAGACAAAUUUUAGGGAGGAAUUCGAAAAAUACAACUCCAACCAUGCUCCCUAUUUACCUUCUAAAAUUGAGAGACUUGUAGGGGCUCCUAAAUCUGAGGAGAGAGAAAAGACUCCUAGUUGCUCCCUAUAAUUUAAUGCUGCUUUAUUUAAAGUGUAUUUCAAACCUUUAAUUAAUGCCAACUAUUUUUUAUAUUAUUUUUAAUAGAGAUGGACCAAUUAAAAAAGAGUUAUAGCAUUUAUGACUCCCUAAACUAGAUAGCAUUAUUGUAUUUUAAAUUUUAUAGAGAACUCCUAAAAUAAAUUUUAUAUGUUUUUAGUUAAAAUUUAACUAAAAAAUAGAGAACAUGAUUGUGGAUGCUUUUAGAGCAUCUCCAACCGAUAUAUCAAAUUGUCACAUGGACAUGAAAUGACAAAAAUUGAAGGCUAAAGUUAGUCCAAUCGAGUAGUCAAAUCUUAUAUAGAUUUGAAGGUUGGAAGAGAUAUGUCAAACAUAACAUAUCAAAAAACUUGAUGUCAAAUAUUAUUUUAAUAUAUUUUUUAGUCAUGUACCCCACUAUCAUUUACUCACUUUAAAAAAUUUAUGCAUCAUAUGGGCCCCAUUUGUUUUUAAAAAUAUAUAAUAAAAUAAUAUGAUAUUUGGCAUUUCGGGUGGAGUUAAAUUUUUUUUCAAAGUGUCAAAUUGCCACAUAAGUCAUCAAAUUCAAAUUUAACAUUUGACAUCUCCCUUUGAAAUGAUUUUAGAGGCCAUCACAGCACAUCGUGUGUCAAAUAAGUAACACGUCUUUCUAAUUUUUUAUUAUUUAUUAAAUCAUUGAAGAUAAAGAGAUUUUAUGACGUCAAAUUUGGAGGAUGUGACAUGAAAGUGUAAAUAAUUAUAAAAAAAGAAAAAGAAAUGCAAAUGUCAAAAAAAUAAUAAUAUAAACGAUUUAUUUUCAAUCGAGAUAGUUCCGGAACUAGGUCAAACAAUCUACUAAAUACACCGAAUAAAAUUAGUUGCGAUAUGAUUUUGUUUGAUUCAAAAUAACCCUUUAUUAGAUCAAGUGGCCGUUAAUGGGGUUUAAGGGUUCGUUUGAGAGUGAUUCUAUAUAGACAAGAAUCACUUCUGAGAAGAAGUACUUCCCCAUGUGCUUCUUCAAAUAAUCAUUUUUAGUUAUUUUAAGCGAUUAUAGAGAAGUGAUUCUAGGUUCGAAUUUGCACAACAUCAUGAUAGUGUGUGUGAAGACACCAUUUCCUAUAGUUUAUAUUGUUGCUUAUACUAAAAAAGGGUGAUGAUUUUCUCACUUACAUUCCCUUCUGUUUAAAAAAAAUAAUAUUUACUAUAACAAAAAAAUAGUGUAAGUAGACAAAAGAGAAGUGGGAACAUCUCCCAAAAAACAUUAUCAAAUAAAAUGGCUCAAAUUUGAUCAUAACCCUAUUUUUGGUUGGGUUAUUUUUCUUGACCUUUUAUUAUUAUUAUUCUAGCCUCUUGGCACAUGCUCAUGUAUGUGUCAAUUAGUUUUUUUUUAAAAUUUUUAAAAUUAAGAAAAGAUAAUAUAGGUAGUUAAGUUCCAUAAAAAUAGGACUUAUUAUUUAAUUUUGUUUUUAAUUUUAAAAUUUUUAAUUAAAAAAAUGUAAAUUUAUUAUAUUAUUCUUAUUUAAUUAAUAAUUUUAAUUAUUAAUGUUUGAAUUUCGUUGGCAUGUAAAUUUAAAGCUUAUGUUUUUAUGUGUAGGUGUUGAGUGCUGGUACUGGCCACCCGCAUAUAAGCGGCAAUUGCCUAUCGCGCCAUAAUUUCCACAAUCGUCACCCUAAUGCAGCCCAUAAUUACGAAAAACCUCAAAUCCCAACACGUCGUUUCACGAACUCAGCAGGGGCCACUCUCGUCAUUACAAAAAAUUCAACAGCACCAGGAGGGCCAACCCACACUGACACUGACACAUACACGUGAUAGCACAGAGAUAUUUUUUUAUUUUUUUAUUUUUUUUGUUACAAGAUAUUUAUUUUUUUCACUUUCUCUUACAUGGGUAGGCACGUCCCAUCCCCGACGUCGAAAGUGCGUGGGAAAAUAGACGGUCAGUAUCGAAUGUAAAAUCAGUUAAAAGCCUGAGGCAGAGCAUCGAUCGUGUCACGCAAAGCAAGCAAAAGUUACCGAGGAGAUCGAAUCAGCUGUGGCCACGUCAUCAGAUAUACAAAGUCCGAAGAAAUCCGUGGCCCCGUCUCGUAACCCGUGGGUCCCACAGAUAUGGCAAAGCGGGAGGGAAGCCAAAGCUUAAAUAGUCGUGGCCUCAGGCCCUCCUGGACACUUCAAAAGGGCCGGCGCUUCCUCCUUAUACAACAGGCCACCGAGCCCAAGAGCGAGAGAGAGAGAGCGUGGAGAGAGAAGAGCUUCUUGUUCAGGUACUCUCUCUCUAGUUUUUUUUAUUCAUUUUGCUUCUGGUUGAUUGUUUCUGUUUGGUUUGGCUUGUCAAAUUCGGAGUUUUCUACUUGCAUUUCGCUGUUUUUGAUUGAAUGUGAUUUCAUUUUGUAUGUUUGAGCUCCAUUUCCUGCUUCAAUGGCGUAAUCUGGAUUAGAUCUAGGCGUUAAUGGUUUUCUAUGGAGAUUCAGAUCUUCGUGUUCGUUUGCGACUGCAACUCCAAUUUUAUUUCCCUUUUUCUUUUAAACGCCUACGAUUUUGAGCUAGAUUAUUAUAAUGCUACUAAUAUGAUUUUUUAAGCUCGUUCAUUCUCUAUGGAGAUUCAGAUCUUCCUGUUCGUUUGCAACUCCAUCUCCUUUUAUUUUUCCUUCUCUUUUUCAACGGCUACGAUUUUGAGCUGUAUUAUUAGAUGCAACUGGUAUUCUUCUUUUAUAUAAUAUACAUAUAUAUAUUUCUAUAUAUUUCUAUUUUUAUGGUUGAUUUAAAAGAAUUGAGCAUUUCGAAGUCCGAUCUGACUCAUAUGAGCGUAACAGUCUGGAUUUUUUGUCGCGUUAUUUGCCUUGGUCCUUUCACACAUGAUAUCUGUCGUCAUCUCUCACACCUUAUUUUCAAGUAUUAAAUUAUUUUUCAUCAUUUUUACGGUUAAUAUUAUAAUUUAAUAUUAGUUAAUAUGGAUUCCGGUUUUUUCUGUUUGAGAAAAAUAAUAGUCCGUUUUUAUGCGGUCCCCCCCAUCACGCCCGAAUUUUCUGACCAUUCGUCUUCGUUCUCGUUUUUCCUUCUUGGCUCCUUACGUUUAAAUGCCGCGUUUUAUUGGGGCGGUUGCAAGUGCGUCCUGACUAUUUUGCACAUAUUCGUGAUAACUUUUUCUCGGCUGAUAAUUUUGUAACUUUGCGAAGCUUUGGCUAGGUUUGUUUUGAGAAUUUGAAAUUCCAACGAGAAAUUCAUUGUAGCUCCGUAACAGUGUUUUAAGAAUAUUCAAAGAACGAUAUUAUGAUUGGAAUUUCAAUUUUGGUUGGCAAGUUGGCAACAAAUUAAAUUUGAUAUUUUUUGGGCCAUGGGCAAGUUGGAAAUGUUCGGCACAUUAGGAAAAUAAUCUGGUCAAAAUCAAAGCUUUAUCGUCAAGUCCAUCAUGCGUAGAGGAAAAUGAGUUUUGUUUGUCAUUUAUUAAUAUUUAAUUAACCUUGACCGAAUGGUUGACCUGAUCCUGAUAUUGGGAGAGCCAAACAAUUUCUCUUCCGCAGGUGCUGUAGUAACGUUGAACCUGUAUAAAAUAUGCUUAUUUUUACUUUCUUUAUUCAAGUUUGAGAGGCGUAAGGGAUACCUUCACGUGACACGCCUCAAUUCCUUGUCUGUUUAGAUUCAUUGAGGAUUGAGAAGUCUGCCCAUCAUAUGUUUAUAUUCAUUUUUUCAAUUUCUUCUAGUUUGGUGCGUUGCAACUUGCAACUAGCAUGAGGGCUUGUUUCUUUAUUGCCUAUGUGGGGUAGCAGUCGGCACAUAAUUAAAGUUGUGGUGGGUCCUAAGGAAUAUCAAAUAAAACCAAGAAAACUCUAUUUAUUCAAAUCACCUUUUUUCGCAAGACUUUGUUGUUGGUACUUUUUACGUCUAAUUUAAGGGUCAGUCCCCACCAAUUGUAUUCAAGUUUGAGUUACCCGUCUAUUAUUAACACAAAAAAACACUAAUUUCAAUUUUUAUUCCUUAAAAUUGUGGCAUGCAUUAAACAUCCUCUAGGUUUAUAUGUGCUUGUUCUACUUGAUUUGAAAUUCUGGUGUGACUUAUUGUAUAUAAAGACUUGAGUUGGGUUUGUAGUCAAAUUGUCCGUUAUGCAUAGUGGAUCUAAUUAGAGCAUUUAUUAGGAGUCCUUUCUCUCUCUUCAGAUUUAGGAGCUCCUAGAGGUCUCCCUAUUUUAGGAGGUGGAUAGAGAGCAUAGUUGGAGUUGCAUUUUUCCAAAUGCUCCCUAAAAUUUGUCUAAGGAGGUGAUUUAGAGAGCCUAUUGUGAAUGCUCUUAGUGACACAAACUCCUAGUUUAUAUUUGAGUGAUUAGUCUUUGCCAUCUCUGUCUCAGCUGUUAAAAAUAAUAUGUAACAAAACCAGGGAAGCUUGUCGGUACGUUUACACUGGUUAAUAGUAGCGGCAAUAACUUAGAUCAAAUUGGUUGUGUGAUGUAAAGAGCUCCUCUACUUGUAUGUUGGAUUCUUUUGGAUAUUCCACUUGCCUUUCUGGUUGGUUUUGGUCCGUUUACUUUGGCACUUUGUUUCUGAGUGGUCGUCGUGUGAGGCUUGAACCUCCAAAUAUCUCAAUCGGUUGGUGUAUUUUUAAUUCAACGUUUGCGGUGUUUCAUUUUUUUGGUGCUCUUCGAUUCAGCCAAUGAGGAAACCCGCCUAGCCGUAGUCACUCUCGAGGUCUACAGGGAGGAAUAUGUGAGAGAUCCGAGGAAUAAAAUUAUUUAUAAUUGUUUCAUGUCUUUUACCUUUAUCCUUACUAAUAUCUCCUUUUCGUUUCUUGGUGUUGAUAUCCUAUAAACUAGUAUAUAACUAUUGAAAUCCUGUUGUGGCACUACAAUUGAAUUAUUCUGUUUUGGUGGUGCAUUAUGGACUAACCUCCUUUUGACAAUUACAUUAUACUCAAGAGAUUCGUUCUUCUUUCUUUGCAGAUUUAGGAGCAAUGGGUGCCGGUGGAAGAAUGUCCGCACCCCCUACCCGUAAGAACGCUGAAACCGACAACCCCAAGCGAGUGCCAUACUCAAAACCUCCAUUCAGUCUCGGCCAGAUCAAGAAAGCCAUCCCACCUCAUUGCUUUCAGCGCUCUGUUAUCCGCUCCUUCUCCUAUGUCUUUUAUGACCUUACCAUUGCCUUUCUCCUGUACUACAUUGCUUGCAAUUACAUCCAGCCUCUCUCUCAACCUUUCUCUUUCUUGGCGUGGCCAGUUUACUGGUAUGUUCAGGGCUGUGUCCUGACUGGUGUUUGGGUGAUAGCGCAUGAGUGUGGUCACCAUGCUUUUAGUGAUUAUCAAUGGCUGGAUGACACAGUCGGUCUAAUCCUCCACUCUGCCCUCCUUGUGCCUUACUUUUCUUGGAAGUAUAGCCAUCGCCGUCACCACUCUAACACAGGUUCCAUUGAGCGAGAUGAGGUCUUUGUCCCCAAGCAGAAGUCUGCUAUUGGAUGGUACUCCAAAUAUCUAAACAACCCACCGGGCAGGUUCCUUACACUCACCAUCCAACUCACUCUAGGCUGGCCUCUGUAUCUGGCUUUCAAUGUUUCAGGGAGGCACUAUGAAGGCUUUGCUUGCCACUACCAUCCAUAUGGCCCCAUCUUCUCCGAUCGUGAACGAUUGCAGAUUUUCCUUUCUGAUGCCGGUGUUCUUGCAGUCGUAUAUGGGCUAUACCGUCUAGCUGUGGCGAAAGGGCUUGCUUGGGUUGUAUGCUAUUAUGGAGGACCUUUGAUGGUGGUGAAUGGAUUUUUGGUGCUGAUCACAUACUUGCAGCACACACACCCUUCAUUGCCACACUACGAUUCCUCAGAAUGGGACUGGUUGAGAGGAGCUUUGGCAACAGUUGACAGAGAUUACGGCAUCCUGAACAAGGUUUUCCAUAACAUCACAGACACUCAUGUUGCUCACCAUUUGUUCUCAACCAUGCCACAUUACCAUGCAAUGGAGGCCACCAAAGCUAUCAAGCCGAUUUUGGGCGAUUACUAUCAGUUGGACAGGACGCCGGUUUUCAAGGCAAUGUUCAGGGAGGCAAAGGAGUGUAUUUAUGUUGAGCGAGAUGAGGGUGACAAGAAAGGUGUCUUCUGGUACAAUAAUAAGUUAUAAAUGUGAUUAUCAAAAUUGCCCGAAUGAGUGUAGGGGGAGUUUUAAGUUCUUGUAAUGGAUCCGAGCUUCCCCUUUCACUCAUGAAUUAGGUUUCUUUCGUCGCUUGGGACUCUACUUUAAUAUGACUAGUUGUGCUAUUUCAAUAAUUUUCUCACCCCUAUUUAUUGUAGAAUGCAAGAAUGUUCUGUGCUACGUUCCUUUCUUUCCCCUCCAAUGAAUGUGCUUAAUUUCCUAAGCAAAAAGCUUCCAAAGGCCUAAUGAAAAAUGGAACGUGCUAAACCAAUUCUGAAUAUUUUCAUUUUCAUUUUCAUUUUUGCGGUUGAGAAAGACUCAAGAGAGUCGUUUUAACUUGGAACUCAAUUUCUGUGGCACAAUGAAUCCCUGAACGAGAGGGAGGCAGGCUAAAUGAAAUGAUAACACAUGGGCUUUGCUCAGCCACAGGACAAUACUGAUCCAUUCCAUCUGUCUUUGCUGCUUCAUUUAUAUUUGGCACUCUCACCCACUCUAUCUUCAACCCGUUUUUGAGGGAUGUGGAAGAAUAAAAUCCAAGGGCUCCUUUGGUGAGCUAGAUUAUAUGGUUGGAUAGAACUAAUAAUCCUAGUCAAGUGUUUGGUGGUCUAAAAAUAACUUGGAAUGGAUUAUGUCUACUGGAGCCUAAAUGUAGUAGAAUUAUGAAUCCCACCAAAAUGGGAUUGGAUUAUGUCUAUAAUCAUGCUAGACUAUAUAAUACAUUAUUGGAUUAGUAUUAUCCUUUCCGAUCAAAUGUAAUCCAAUCCAAUUUCAAUCGGGAAACAUGACCCCAAAUGUCCAAACAUGAGUGUAAAUUGCAAUAUAGCCCGUGGUGAGUUCGGAAUUUGGAAGAAUAUUACUCUUCAUUUUAUUUCAUCAGAAAGAAAAAUAAAAUUGAAUUAAAUGAGUGAGUUGUAAAGAAGGAUACAGUAAAUGAGUUAAGGAUUUCUCGACGAAGUGUUCGAUUUACUCCAUGUAACAAAAGUAAAAGGUAAAUGUGAGUUUGGCCAGUUAGUCAAGACAAAACAAAACAAAAAUUUAAAUAUCGACCAAAAUAUAUAUAUAUAUAUGUUUACUGGAGUAGCCCAAUCGAUGUAUCUAGUAUAAACUUCAGCCCAGGCUUAAUUACACUGGCCCAAUAUGCUCAUCUAUUAUUCCAGGCCCUGUUAUCAUAAGAGGCUUCAGCGAAAAAAUAAAUUAGAAAUCUGCAAUCCAGUUUACAACCCUACCACAGAAGCCCAUUAUGUUGUUACAUAAUCCUUUUAACCACACCAAUAUAUAUAAUGAAUUGGAUUAUUAUUAUUUUAAUAAUGUUGUAAAUUACGAACUUGAAAGGUAUGAAUUUCUUAAUGGGAAUGGAUUAUCUGAAUCCUGAUUACUAUGUAUGACUAAAUCAAAGUUUACAAUCAAUGUCAGCAUCCUCAAUCCUGGGUUUCAUAACAUCAAGGGGAAAUUGACAUCAAAUCACGACCAUUUCAAAAUCCUGUCGACGUUCGAUGGUUAUUAUUUCUUAAUUAAACCAUAUUAAGUUGGUAUUAUUUUCCAUCAGUCAACGGUAAAUGCAUACUUACAUGUUUCCAUGGCCAAUAGAAUGACUUGCCAUAAGAACAGAAAAUCAGAUUUAUAAGUAACCUUGAAUAUCUACAAGUCAAAAGAUUUCUUAGGCAAACAUUUGGGUUACUUGAUUUGUACUUCAAAAAGAAAAGCAAGACAAUGAGAAGUGAAAUCUCUGGACCACAAAUCAACCAUG
rnacentral:lncRNA from 1 species